rnacentral:rRNA from 1 species
UACAGAGGGUGCGAGCGUUGUCCGGAAUCACUGGGCGUAAAGGGCGCGUAGGUGGUGGCUUAAGCGUGCGGUGAAAGCUCGGAGCUCAACUCCGAGUCGGCCGUGCGAACUGGGCUCACUGGAGCAUAGUAGAGGCAGGUGGAAUUCCGGGUGUAGCGGUGGAAUGCGUAGAGAUCCGGAAGAACACCGGUGGCGAAGGCGGCCUGCUGGCUAUGGCUGACACUGAGGCGCGACAGCGUGGGGAGC